GAUGAACGCUGGCGGCGUGCCUAACACAUGCAAGUCGAGCGCACAGACGAGGCUUUUGUUCCUCUGAUGUUUGGCGCGGAGGGGAGUAUCACGUGUGUAACCCCUACCUAUCAGACUGGGAUAACCAUGGGACACCGGCGCUUACUCCGGAUUACAUGUUGAUCCGCAGGGGUCCACAGUUAAAGGCGGUCUUGGUGUCACUUAUAGAUGGAUCCGCGCCGCAUGAGGUUGUUGGUAGGGUAAUGGCUUACCAAGGCAAGAAUGCGUAGCCGACCUGAGAGGGUGAUAGGCCACCCGGGAACUGAGACGCGGACCAAACUCCUACGGGAGGACGCAGUAGGGAAUCUUCCGCAAUGGGCGAAAGCCUGACGGAGCAACGCCGCGUGAGUGAGGAAGGUGUUCGGAUCGGAAAGCUCUGUUAUUAGUGAAGAACAAAUGUGUCAGUAACUAUGGAGGUCUUGACGGUACCAGAUCAGAAAGCCACGGCUAACUACGUG
rnacentral:rRNA from 1 species